rnacentral:lncRNA from 1 species
GGGGGGUGGCUGUGUGUUUGGCUUUCACUUGGACAAGCCUCCUUUUCCCUCCCACAGAGCUGGCUGCUGCUGCCAAGGCCCCAAGGAGGCUUUCAGUCGUCCCUGCAUUUUCUUCGUCUGAAAUCAGGACGCUAAGUAGCUACAGCUGCAUGUGCCGCCUUUGAGAAAAUCUCAUCCUGAACUCGAGAACACAGACUCAACAGGCAGACGGCCGGGAAGCUACAAGGCAGCGCCUCACAACACUCUCUUCUUUUUCAUUCUACUAAAAGUUGCUCUCAAAUCCUACUGGACAGAAAGUCCUAAAGCAUUCCAAAUGUUGCUCCAUUUCCAAAAGUGCCGGCGCUGCCUCCUUGGGAUCAGAGGCCUUCUGCGCUUGAGCCUGGCACCUGCCCUGGGCCCCAGUGGACGGGUCCUUCCUCUUGGACCACUGGCCCCAUGCAUUGUCCAUCCUCAACACCUUCCCUGUGGUGCCCAGAGGCAGCGUCCAGGAGCACACCCAGGUGCCCAGCGGGACCCCGGAGCUCCCUUUGAACAGGC